rnacentral:rRNA from 1 species
GCAAGUCGAACGGUAGAGGGGGCAACCCCUCGAGAGUGGCGAACGGGUGAGUAAUAUAUCGGAACGUGCCCAGUCGUGGGGGAUAACGUAGUGAAAAUUACGCUAAUACCGCAUACGAUCUAAGGAUGAAAGCGGGGGACUCGCAAGGGCCUCGCGCGAUUGGAGCGGCCGAUAUCAGAUUAGGUAGUUGGUGAGGUAAAGGCUCACCAAGCCAACGAUCUGUAGCUGGUCUAAGAGGACGACCAGCCACACUGGAACUGAGACACGGUCCAGACUCCUACGGGAGGCAGCAGUGGGGAAUUUUGGACAAUGGACGCAAGUCUGAUCCAGCCAUUCCGCGUGCAGGACGAAGGCCUUCGGGUUGUAAACUGCUUUUGUACAGAACGAAAAGGUCUCUAUUAAUACUAGGGGCUCAUGACGGUACUGUAAGAAUAAGCACCGGCUAACUACGUGCCAGCAGCCGCGGUAAUACGUAGGGUGCAAGCGUUAAUCGGAAUUACUGGGCGUAAAGCGUGCGCAGGCGGUUAUAUAAGACAGAUGUGAAAUCCCCGGGCUCAACCUGGGAACUGCAUUUGUGACUGUAUAGCUGGAGUGCGGCAGAGGGGGAUGGAAUUCCGCGUGUAGCAGUGAAAUGCGUAGAUAUGCGGAGGAACACCGAUGGCGAAGGCAAUCCCCUGGGCCUGCACUGACGCUCAUGCACGAAAGCGUGGGGAGCAAACAGGAUUAGAUACCCUGGUAGUCCACGCCCUAAACGAUGUCAACUGGUUGUUGGGUCUUCACUGACUCAGUAACGAAGCUAACGCGUGAAGUUGACCGCCUGGGGAGUACGGCCGCAAGGUUGAUACUCAAAGGAAUUGACGGGGACCCGCACAAGCGGUGGAUGAUGUGGUUUAUUCGAUGCAACGCGAAAACCUUACCCACCUUUGACAUGUACGGAA